AGAGUUUGAUCCUGGCUCAGGAUGAACGCUAGCUACAGGCUUAACACAUGCAAGUCGAGGGGAAACGACAUCGAAAGCUUGCUUUUGAUGGGCGUCGACCGGCGCACGGGUGAGUAACGCGUAUCCAACCUGCCCACCACUUGGGGAUAACCUUGCGAAAGUAAGACUAAUACCCAAUGACGUCCCUAGAAGACAUCUGAAGGAGAUUAAAGAUUUAUCGGUGAUGGAUGGGGAUGCGUCUGAUUAGCUUGUUGGCGGGGUAACGGCCACCAAGGCGACGAUCAGUAGGGGUUCUGAGAGGAAGGUCCCCCGACAGUUGGAACUGGACGACACGGUCCAAACUCCUACGAGAGGCA
rnacentral:rRNA from 1 species